AUGAACGCUGGCGGCGUGCCUCAUCCAUGCAAGUCGAGCGAACGGACGAGAAGCUUGCUUUUCUGAUGUUAGCGGCGGACGGGUGAGUAACACGUGGAUAACCUACCUAUAAGACUGGGAUAACUUCGGGAAACCGGAGCUAAUACCGGAUAAUAUUUUGAACCGCAUGGUUCAAAAGUGAAAGACGGUCUUGCUGUCACUUAUAGAUGGAUCCGCGCUGCAUUAGCUAGUUGGUAAGGUAACGGCUUACCAAGGCAACGAUGCAUAGCCGACCUGAGAGGGUGAUCGGCCACACUGGAACUGAGACACGGUCCAGACUCCUACGGGAGGCAGCAGUAGGGAAUCUUCCGCAAUGGGCGAAAGCCUGACGGAGCAACGCCGCGUGAGUGAUGAAGGUCUUCGGAUCGUAAAACUCUGUUAUUAGGGAAGAACAUAUGUGUAAGUAACUGUGCACAUCUUGACGGUACCUAAUCAGAAAGCCACGGCUAACUACGUG
rnacentral:rRNA from 1 species